CCUACGGGAGGCAGCAGUGAGGAAUAUUGGUCAAUGGGCGCGAGCCUGAACCAGCCAAGUAGCGUGAAGGAUGACUGCCCUACGGGUUGUAAACUUCUUUUAUAAAGGAAUAAAGUGAGGCACGCGUGCCGUUUUGUAUGUACCUUAUGAAUAAGGAUCGGCUAACUCCGUGCCAGCAGCCGCGGUAAUACGGAGGAUCCGAGCGUUAUCCGGAUUUAUUGGGUUUAAAGGGUGCGUAGAUGGGUUGUUAAGUCAGUUGUGAAAGUUUGCGGCUCAACCGUAGAAUUGCAGUUGAAACUGGCAGUCUUGAGUACGGUUGAGGUAGGCGGAAUUCGUGGUGUAGCGGUGAAAUGCUUAGAUAUCACGAAGAACUCCGAUUGCGAAGGCAGCUUACUAGACUGCCACUGACGUUGAGGCUCGAAAGUGUGGGUAUCGAACAGGAGUAGAUACCCUUGUAGUC
rnacentral:rRNA from 1 species